GUCUACGGACACACCACCCCCAAUGCAUCAAAUCUCAUCUGAUCUUGGAAACUAAGCAGGGUCGGGCCUGGUUAGUACUUGGAUGGGAGAAUGAGUAAACUGCCUUGCCUGGACU
rnacentral:rRNA from 1 species